rnacentral:lncRNA from 1 species
CAGGCUCACUACAAGACUCUCUCCUGGAUCUUGAUGUGCUAUUCGCUAUCUUUGGCAAGUUGGAUGGACAGCAUGGUUAGGCCCUGCUCAUGUCCCCACCAGUUGUAAUUUGAAGGGAUGGCAGGCUGAUGAACUCAUGAAUCAUUCCAUUGCAGGUCGUUGGCCUCAAGCUGGGGUUUGUUUGAGCCGAUGGCAGCAUCAGUGACACCCAGAAGUUUGGCAGGAGGCAACAAUGGAUGUCUUGCGGCUCAUUUCUCAGCUGGCUGGCUAGAGACUAUAGUGCUUCAUGCACAAUGAGGGCUGUAUGCAGGCUGUGGAGAGCAGGAGUGGCCGGCCUGCCCCUUGUUCAUACAGAUUCUCCCUGAUGGAGCCUAGCCUGACAGUGACCUCGCAUCAUGCUAGCCAGCAGCUCUACUUGGCUCUGCAAGGAGAACGACGCCAGGUGGUUCUCACAAUGCGUCCAAGAGGAACUGAAUAUUACAUUGGAUGCCAGCCUCGUGAGUGCAGGUUUCAUAGUGGGAAAAUGAACCUCAACUGUUCUGCGCUGAAAAUCCAGGGGCCUGGCCAUUUCACACAGUGACAAGGAGCUCCUCAAGUUGCUCCUGCCUGCAGUUCGUUAGGAGUGGGAUAUGUGGACAAUUCGAGGUAGAACCUAAUGCUUCAAAUCAUUGAUUUGCGGUGGAGGGGAGGUUCAAUGCAAGGCUCUCCAAUUAACUUCGUGGUCCUAGCUCAUGGCUGUGCCAAGUUCCGGCUCAGUGCGUAUUAUUACAUGACUCUCCAGACCUCGGCAGUAUUCUUUCUGUGACUGGGUGUGCCGUGAAUGCAGAAC